UCAGCUAGAUGGACCCAUUGGUUAAGUACUUGCAGGAGGGGUUGUUGCCAGAAGAUUGAGUUGAGGCCUAGAGAAUCAAGUUCCAGUCCACACGGUACAUGAUGCUCGAGGGAAAGCUUUACAAGCAAUCCUUCUCUUUGCCUCUCCUUCACUAUCUCAAACCCUUUAAGGUCGAGUACGCCCUAUGUGAAGUCCACGA
rnacentral:lncRNA from 1 species